AGUGAACGCUGGCGGUAGGCCUAACACAUGCAAGUCGAACGGCAGCACGGUAAGAGCUUGCUCUUACGGGUGGCGAGUGGCGGACGGGUGAGGAAUACAUCGGAAUCUACUUUUUCGUGGGGGAUAGCGUAGGGAAACUUACGCUAAUACCGCAUACGACCUACGGGUGAAAGCAGGGGAUCUUCGGACCUUGCGCGAUUGAAUGAGCCGAUGUCGGAUUAGCUAGUUGGCGGGGUAAAGGCCCACCAAGGCGACGAUCCGUAGCUGGUCUGAGAGGAUGAUCAGCCACACUGGAACUGAGACACGGUCCAGACUCCUACGGGAGGCAGCAGUGGGGAAUAUUGGACAAUGGGCGCAAGCCUGAUCCAGCCAUACCGCGUGGGUGAAGAAGGCCUUCGGGUUGUAAAGCCCUUUUGUUGGGAAAGAAAAGCAGCAGGUUAAUACCCCGCUGUUCUGACGGUACCCAAAGAAUAAGCACCGGCUAACUUCGUG
rnacentral:rRNA from 1 species